UACAGAGGGGGCAAGCGUUGUUCGGAAUUACUGGGCGUAAAGGGCUCGUAGGCGGCCUGUUAAGUCGAACGUGAAAUCCCCGGGCUCAACCCGGGAACUGCGUCCGAUACUGGCAGGCUUGAAUUCGGGAGAGGGAUGUGGAAUUCCAGGUGUAGCGGUGAAAUGCGUAGAUAUCAGGAGGAACACCGGUGGCGAAGGCGGGUCUCUGGGCCGAUACUGACGCUGAGGAGCGAAAGCGUGGGGAGCGAUCAGG
rnacentral:rRNA from 1 species